UUAAGAAAGUCCAUUUUCUGCUUUUACUCUUGACUUGUGCUUGGUAUAAACAGUAGCUGAUGGUGAAGCUGAUGAGGAUUAGGGAUGGAGAUAAGGAGACGUUAAAGACUCAUCAUGCUUGCAUGGUGCCACUGUGUCUCCGAUGUCCUCAUGCUCUGGAGUGGCCUGUUAUUCCUGUCCCGGAGGGUGUGUUCGCAGUGCAGCAGCUCCAGUAACAUAGGCAGGUGGAAGCAAGGAGGCACAGAAAGCACUUGGAUUCACCACACCAAAUGUUGGUGUUCAUAAUUAAACAGACACUGAUGGAGAUAUGUAAGCAGACAGGCAGAGCACUCCAGGAAAACUGGUUGUAAACACAAAUGAAGAUGAGAGGCAGCACUGAGGGGAUUGGCUGGCCCUAUGCUCCAUAUUCACAGAAGCAGGAUGAGGCUGGGAAGCCUGCUGAGAAAAUGGUGUCGUAAUCAGGAGCCGGCAGUUCUGCCUGAUCAGGUUUGGGCCUGAAAGACGUGCCAGACCUGCUGCCAAAGCACCGGCCUCCACCUCACCCUGCAGACAUGGCUGAACACAAACCAACACACACACACACGCAUGCAUACACACACAAACACACACACACGCAAUGUAAAAAAAAAAAAAAAAAACACACUUUUAUCUCUAAGCAUGAUUUACUUACAUAUAUUUCCAUACAUCUAUCUUGCAUAUUUAACCAAGCCACUUUCAUAUGCGCCCACACCCACACAUUCUCACCAUCUCUACAUUCACAUCUACACCUAUACAUUCUGUCUUUGAUGAUGGAGUUGACAUACGCUCUCAUGCCUUGUGUCAGACCUAGACAGCAUAGUCACAUUCACACGGUCUUCCUCAACACAAACAUAAACACAUGCAUGCGUUUGGUUUGUCAGUUGUCUCUAAGGCAUGUCCUAUUUUUAAAACGGUGAGAACACCUACACACAUUCUCCCAUGCUUGGGCACACCCACUGUGGCCCAUGUCAGACUCUCCUCAUCUCAGGGAACACCCUGCACAGUUGUAAGUCAGGAAAAAUUAGUCAGGUGAAGUAAAUCUCGACACCUGACACUAGUGGUCUCUCUUUAAACUUGUUUGCACCACCGCCCCCAUACUUAAUGGUACAGAUUAUUCCAUGCUCUGAGCUUGUCUGAUAAUUGCACAGUACAUACCUGUCCGGGGUGCAAGUCCAUUUGCUAAGCAGAGGGCCCCUCUGCUACAUGGCUCACGUUAUUGUCGUAACCGAGGAAGGGAGUCUUCUAUGUGUCAUUCAGAUCUGUCAUUACUGUCAGUGUGCAUCCCUGACUCUGUGAUGUAUGUGUCCCACAGUUGUGAAAUUCAGUUCAUAGGAGCAUGUGUGUCAAAGUCAAAUAGCGUUUCUGAAAAAUUGGAUCUCUGCCUAACCAAUAAUCAAGCUCAGGUUCUCACAGAGAACGAGAAUCUCCCCCUGCAAAUUUUCAGUCAUGAUGGUUUUCAACACUCGUUUGGCAUGUGAAUCAGUGCGCAGUUCUCAAACCUGCAGUUGUUUUCAUGACAUCUGAAUGAGUCACACUGUGUAUGUGGCUUAUUGUGACGUCUGUGGUAGUACAGUACGUAGUCUGUAAUCACAGAAGCAUCACUUCAGAGGCUUCUUUUGAAGUUAUUUUGGGUGGUUUGUUUCAUGAAUAUUAGUCUCUCUCUUAACUUAAAAUCAGAGACAAUGCAUAUCUUCUUGUCUCAUAAGAUUUUAUCAGAAGGUUGUUUUGGCUGCUUUUACUCACCAUGUGAUUGCAAAACUGCUCUCGAACGCCCACUUAUACUUGAUAUGUUUGUGUCAUUACUAAAUGUAUUGUGUGUGUAUCACAACAUUAGUUUUUUUUUGUUUUUAACUUUCAUUUAACCAUGAUAAACAAAUUCUUUGACAGCCUGGCAAGAUGUUAGAUGUUCCAGGAAGUGCAGGGAAAGGAGAAUUAUUCAUCUGUAUUAUCAGUAUCAGUAUUAAAAUGGGAACGAAGAUUAGGUAAAUGAAGGCUUGCAAAGAGAUCCAACUAAUAUCAGGGUAUUUACCAGCUCGGUCCUGGGAGAAGCACACUGGAAUGAGGAGUGGCCAAAGAAGUUUGUCACACAAGUUGUGUAUGAAAACACACUGAAUGUUCUCAGUGCAUUACUGACAAAUUCAGCCAUAUUAGAGUAAUGGUAUGCUGGUCAAUUUAAAUACCUAGUUUUAUAUUAUUCUGUAUUAUUGAUUAAUUUACUAUUUUCUGUGCAGUAAAAU